ACUCCUACGGGAGGCAGCAGUUAGGAAUAUUCGGCAAUGGGGGAAACCCUGACCGAGCGACACUGCGUGAAGGAGGAAGGCCUUAGGGUUGUAAACUUCUGAACGAGAGACGAUAAUGACGGUAUCUCGGUAAUAGCACCGGCUAACUCCGUGCCAGCAGCCGCGGUAAUACGGAGGGUGCGAGCGUUAUCCGGAAUCACUGGGCGUAAAGGGCGCGUAGGCGGUUACAUAAGUCCGAUGUUAAAGCGUAGGGCUCAACCCUAUAAAGGCGUUGGAUACUGUGAAACUAGACUUCUGGAGAGGUAAGUGGAAUUACCAGAGUAGCGGUGAAAUGCGUAGAUACUGGUAGGAACACCCAUAGCGAAGGCAGCUUACUGGACAGAGAGUGACGCUGAGGCGCGAAAGUGUGGGGAGCAAACCGGAUUAGAUACCCUGGUAGGUCAGU
rnacentral:rRNA from 1 species